CGAGGCUACUCUGCCCCAUUCACACUGAGCGACGUGGGGGAUCGAUGAGACCAGAGGGCACGAGCACCGCGAGCGGAACUGGUCCGACCGCCUUUGAAGCCUCGCGACAAAGAGGGCAGCUCAUUAAACACAGACGCACCACACGUAACGGGAUGACGCAAUUCUGCCCUAGGGAGCUCCGUUUGUUUGGGAGCAAAUUAAUCUUAAGAACUCCCCCACAGAGUUGAAAAUUUUUCAAAUAGUAUUUUCACAUAGCAUGAUAGCAUAGUUUCUCGGACAUACUAUUUGAUAACCCUCCACCACUAGAGCCCUUCUCCAACUGUCCUGCAAUCUGAAUAAGGGCCAACCGCAGAUCUGCGUCUCGGACGGGCCGUACCUCAGCGGGGACUCGGGCCAGCCCAGCUCCAGCAUCGGGGGCUCCUCGUCGGACAUCAUGGGGAAGUAGGUCCCGGAGGUAAACGCUGUCAGGUGAUGCAGGACCGGAGGCAGAUGAGUGAACAUGAUGGACGGCAGAGAGCGUCAGAUGAUGUGUGGCCUGUCACGACAAGAGCCGGCCCGACCGAAGCAACCCAACCAGCCGAGUGAAUCUCAACCACAACACUAGACCAGAACGUAUAUAUACAGUUUAACUACUGUGCACACAACCAACGUGCACAGCUCUGGAAACACACACAGCAUUCAAAUCCAUUGCAUUUGGAAUCCAAUGACUAUAGGACCUCUCCAUCUGAACAUUUAUUCAACACUGGGGAUACCGUCCUAAUAUCGCUAUCUGCAAAAUUAGAUUUCGAUUGAUUAUUGCAUUAUUAUAUUUUAAAGUUAAAGUUUAUUAAUUGUCUAAUAAAUUGUUAUACGUAUUCAAGUGUUGUAAUGGAUUGCAGGACAUAUUUGAUGUUGAUAUAUCAUUUAAUAAUGAUGUAUAUUUAUAUCAACAGCCCUGUUGAGGCUGAAGGGAGUCGACAGAGGAACAUGGAGAGAGAGAGAUGGUGUUAAGUCACCAGAAGGAGCAGGUCUGGGCAGGCUGGCUGUGAGAGACGAUGGGAACAGCCCGGGGAAGAAAUUCGAUGUGACACACAUGAACAAACUGAAUCAAGAGAGCCGUUAUAAGCCUAUGGCCAUGUCUGAAACCGUUCACAAUAAAACACUAAUUUGGGCGUCAA